GCAGAAGCACCAAACCACCUUAAACAUUUGUCUAUCUCCCUAUGCCCCAUGCUGGAGCAGGCUUCACCCCAAACCACUGUCUGGCCUCUGUGCCGGGAGGCUAUGGGUACUGAAGUGGAUUGCACGGUG
ensembl:snoRNA